GACGAACGCUGGCGGCGUGCUUAACACAUGCAAGUCGAACGGAAAGGCCCUGCUUUUGUGGGGUGCUCGAGUGGCGAACGGGUGAGUAACACGUGAGUAACCUGCCCUUGACUUUGUGAUAACUUCAGGAAACUGGGGCUAAUACCGGAUAUGAUCUCCUGCUGCAUGUUGGGGGUUGGAAAGUUUCGGCGGUUGGGGAUGGACUCGCGGCUUAUCAGCUUGUUUGUGGGGUAGUGGAUUACCAAGGCUUUGAAGGGUAGCCGGCCUGAGAGGGUGACCGGCCACAUUGGGACUGAGAGACGGCCCAGACUCCUACGGGAGGCAGCAGUGGGGAAUAUUGCACAAUGGGCGGAAGCCUGAUGCAGCAACGCCGCGUGCGGGAUGACGGCCUUCGGGUUGUAAACCGAUGUCGCCUGUGACGAAGCGUGAGUGACGGUAAUGGGUAAAGAAGCACCGGCUAACUACGUG
rnacentral:rRNA from 1 species